rnacentral:rRNA from 1 species
CCCUUAGAUGUUCUGGGCCGCACGCGCGCUACACUGACGGAUUCAACGAGCUUACAACCUUGGCCGAAAGGUCUGGGUAAUCUCCAAAAUCCGUCGUGAUGGGGAUAGAUUAUUGCAAUUAUUAAUCUUCAACGAGGAAUGCCUAGUAAGCGCAAGUCAUCAGCUUGCGUUGAUUACGUCCCUGCCCUUUGUACACACCGCCCGUCGCUCCUGCCGAUUGAAUGGUCCGGUGAAGCGUUUGGACUAUGGUUUUCUGAUGGUCCGCCGUUGGAUUACCGUGGGAAGUUCGUUAAACCUUAUCAUUUAGAGGAAGGAGAAGUCGUAACA